UACGGGGGGGGCAAGCGUUGUUCGGAAUCAUUGGGCGUAAAGGGUGCGUAGGCGGUGCGGUAAGUCUGGUGUGAAAUCCCCGAGCUUAACUCGGGUCCCGCGCCAGAGACUGCCGUGCUCGAGUGUGGGAGAGGAAAGUGGAAUUCCCGGUGUAGCGGUGAAAUGCGUAGAUAUCAAGUGGAACACCAGUGGCGAAGGCGAGUCCCUGGACAACUCCUGACACUGAGGCACGAAAGCUAGGGGAGCAAACAGG
rnacentral:rRNA from 1 species